rnacentral:lncRNA from 1 species
CCUCAGGGUGGGGCUGGUCCAGGGAAAGACUCAGUGGUUAGAGGGUUGGAACUUUCAGUCCUGCUCACCACCCCUGAGAAGGGAGGUGGGUAGCGUUGGAGAUUAAGUUCUGUAAAAACUCUUGAACAUGGUUUGACGAGCUUCCAGACUGGUGAACACAUGGGGUACUGGGAGGAUGCUGUGCCCAGAGAAGAUGUGGAAGUCCCAGGGGCUCCCCUCCCCCUGACAUUGUCCUAUGCAUCUCUUCCAUUUGGCUGUUCCUGAGAUACAUACUUUGUAAUAAACUGGAGGACCUCCUCCCCAACAGUUAAAAGUUUCGGUCUCCUGGAUCUGCAUUGCAGAAGUCUUCAUUUACGAAACAGUUACAAGUCCCUCCACAUAAAAGCAGAUUAACAGAAUAUGCUGUCGUCACCUGGGAAUCCUGCCCGUCCAAACACUAAAGAACAAAACAGGGCCCUCGCCCGACCAUGGUAACAUCCUGACCUUGAAGAUCCAGCCUCCAGAACUUCAAGAAAUAAAUGUUUAUUGUUUAUAAGCCA